rnacentral:rRNA from 1 species
UCUGGUGGCCAGAGCGCGGUGGAACCACCCGGUCCCAUUCCGAACCCGGAAGUGAAACGCUGCAGCGCCGAUGGUAUUGGGACGACAGGUCCUGUGAGAGUAGGUCGCCGCCAGGU